UAAUAAGUGUUUUAUGGCACUUUUUAAAUCCAUAUCCACCUUGUGUGCAAUGUCAGUCGAUCUUCUUUUAUGGAGGAUCGACCAAACAUCAACCUUUAUUUUUAACUCUUUGUCUGAAAAAUAUUAGUGAAUAAACAAUUCAAAAUA
rnacentral:misc_RNA from 1 species